CAGCUGGGGGGGCCUCGUCUGCUUGGAAGUGACUUCUACCUCUGCUCCAGGUGCGAAUCCCCUUCCUGCUGGACAAGAUGAAGGAGGCUGGGAAAGUGUUUCUGGCCACCAGCAGCACCUACAACUACACGGAUGCCAUCAGGACCUACGUGCUGGCCUUGGUGAGGCUGACGCCUCAGCCAGGCCCUGGAGGUCCUACUUCGACCCGAUUGUGG
rnacentral:lncRNA from 1 species